rnacentral:lncRNA from 1 species
GAGGGGGGUCUUCGUCUUCGGCAUCGUCCUCAGGCUCAUCUCAGCUUCGUUGUCUUCUUCGUCUUUCUUGUCCUCUUAAUCUUCGUCCUCUUCCUCACCACCAUCUCCUUCUCCAUCCCCAUCCUCAACCUCAUCCUUGUCUUCUUCAUCCUUGUUGUUCUUUUCACCUUUGCCUUCUUCCUCAUCCCCAUCCCCAUCCCCAUCCCCAUCCCCAUCCUCAUCCUCAUCCUCAUCCUCAUCCUCGUUGUCUUCUUCAUCCUUGGUGUCCUCUUCAUCUUCAUCCUCUUUCUCAUCACCAUCCCAUCUCCAUCCCCAUCCUUACCCUCAUCUUCGUCUUCUUCAUCCUUGUUGUCCUCUUCCUCAUCACCAUCCUCAUCCUCAUCCUCAUCCUCAUCCUCAUCUUCUUCGUCCUUGUUGUCCUCUUCAUCUUCGUCCUCUUCCUCACCACCAUCCCAUCUCCAUCCCCAUUUCCAUCCCCAUCCUCACCCUCAUCCUCGUCUUCUUCGUCCUUGUCCUCUUCAUCUUCAUCCUCUUCCUCACCACCAUCCUUAUCUCCAUCUCCAUCCCCAUCCUAACCCUCAUCCUCGUUGUCUUCUUCAUCCUUGUUGUUCUCUUCAACUUCAUCCUCUUCCUCUUCCUCAUCGCCAUCAUUAUCUCCAUCUCCAUCCCCAUUCUCAUCCUCGUUGUCUUCUUCAUCCCCAUCGUUCUCUCCAUCUUCUUCCUCAUCCUCAUCCCCAUCCUCAUCCUCAUCCCCACCUCCAUCCCCAUCCUCACUCUCAUUCUUGUUGUCUUCAUCCGCAUUGUCGUCUCCAUCUUCAUUCUCAUCCUCAUCACCAUCCUCAUCCUCAUCUCCAUCUCCAUCCCCAUCCCCACCCUCACCCUCGUCUUCUUCAUCCUUGCUGUUUUCUCCAUCUUCAUCCUCAUUAUCAUUGCCAUCCUCAUCCCCAUCUCCAUCCUCAUUCCCAUUCUCAUCCCUGUUGUCUUCUUCAUUCUGUCUUCUACGUCUUCAUCCUCAUCCUCAUCCUCGUUGUCUUUUUCAUCCUCGUUGUCCUCUCCAUCUUCAUCUCCAUUCCCACUUCCAUCCCCAUUCUCACCCUCAUCCUCAUCGUCUUCUUUAUCCUCAUUGUGUUCUCCAUCUUCAAUCUCGUUCUCAUUGCCAUCCUCAUCCUCAUCUUCAUCCUCAUCUUCAU